rnacentral:rRNA from 1 species
GCGAGUCGUGGGGCAGCAGGUCUGUAGCAAUACAGAUGCUGGCGACCGGCAAACGGGUGCGGAACACGUACACAACCUUCCUUUAAGUGGGGAAUAGCCCAGAGAAAUUUGGAUUAAUACCCCGUAACAUAAUGAAAAGGCAUCUUUUUAUUAUUAUAGCAGCAAUGCGCUUAAUGAUGGGUGCGCGUCUGAUUAGGUAGUUGGCGGAGUAAUAGCCCACCAAGCCUACGAUCAGUAACUGGUGUGAGAGCACGACCAGUCACACGGGCACUGAGACACGGGCCCGACUCCUACGGGAGGCAGCAGUAAGGAAUAUUGGGCAAUGGACGCAAGUCUGACCCAGCCAUGCCGCGUGGAGGAUGAAGGUCCUCUGGAUUGUAAACUUCUUUUAUCUGGGAAGAAAUCCAUGAAUUCUUUUAUGGUUGACGGUACCAGAUGAAUAAG